rnacentral:tRNA from 1 species
UAAAAAAAGCGAUUUUUGCAUCAAGUUUCGACCUUGACCCAUAGAAAAACUUGUUUUUCUUUUU